GGGCGGUUAGCUCAGUUGGUAGAGCAUCUCCCUUACAAGGAGGAGGUCGUUGGUUCGAGCCCGAUACCGCCCACCA
rnacentral:tRNA from 1 species